GAGGGGCAGCAUGGUCUUAGCUUGCUAAGGCCGAUGGCGACCGGCGCACGGGUGAGUAACACGUAUCCAACCUGCCGUCUACUCUUGGACAGCCUUCUGAAAGGAAGAUUAAUACAAGAUGGCAUCAUGAGUCCGCAUGUUCACAUGAUUAAAGGUAUUCCGGUAGACGAUGGGGAUGCGUUCCAUUAGAUAGUAGGCGGGGUAACGGCCCACCUAGUCUUCGAUGGAUAGGGGUUUUGAGAGGAAGGUCCCCCACAUUGGAACUGAGACACGGUCCAAACUCCUACGGGAGGCAGCAGUGAGGAAUAUUGGUCAAUGGGCGAGAGCCUGAACCAGCCAAGUAGCGCGAAGGAUGACUGCCCUAUGGGUUGUAAACUUCUUUUAUAAAGGAAUAAAGUCGGGUAUGCAUACCCGUUUGCAUGUACUUUAUGAAUAAGGAUCGGCUAACUCCGUGCCAGCAGCCGCGGUAAUACGGAGGAUCCGAGCGUUAUCCGGAUUUAUUGGGUUUAAAGGGAGCGUAGAUGGAUGUUUAAGUCAGUUGUGAAAGUUUGCGGCUCAACCGUAAAAUUGCAGUUGAUACUGGAUAUCUUGAGUGCAGUUGAGGCAGGCGGAAUUCGUGGUGUAGCGGUGAAAUGCUUAGAUAUCACGAAGAACUCCGAUUGCGAAG
rnacentral:rRNA from 1 species